GACGGUCCCCAGAGAGCCACCGGAGGAGCAGCUCACCUGAGAGACGGAGCCCCGGCUCGCCCGUGUGCAGAGCGGACAAGGCAAAAUCUCAGCAAGUUCGGACCUCUAGUACAAUAAGGCGAACCUCCUCUUUGGAUACAAUAACAGGACCUUACCUCACGGGACAGUGGCCACGGGAUCCUCAUGUUCACUACCCUUCAUGCAUGAAAGACAAAGCUACUCAGGUAAAAUCAGGAAAUCAAAAUCAGAUUAUUACCCUGCACUUCUUCUGUUUUGAUCACAGUAAAGAAAAUGUAAUAUAAUCAAAUUUCCCCAAAUUUGAAAUACAUCCAACCAAGGAAGAAAGGAAAAAUCCAUUGUUUUAAAUAAACUUUGCAGUAAUUGUUUUUUGUCAUCUGGGUUUUAGAAGUUU
rnacentral:sRNA from 1 species